rnacentral:rRNA from 1 species
CUGACCGAUAGUGAACCAGUACCGUGAGGGAAAGGCGAAAAGAACCCCGGCGAGGGGAGUGAAAAAGAACCUGAAACCGUGUACGUACAAGCAGUGGGAGCACCCUUCGGGGUGUGACUGCGUACCUUUUGUAUAAUGGGUCAGCGACUUAUAUUCUGUAGCAAGGUUAACCGAAUAGGGGAGCCGGAGGGAAACCGAGUCUUAAUUGGGCGUUAAGUUGCAGGGUAUAGACCCGAAACCCGGUGAUCUAGCCAUGGGCAGGUUGAAGGUUGGGUAA